CUUGCUUUCUUUGCUGGCGACCGGCGCACGGGUGAGUAACACGUAUCCAACCUGCCCUUUACUCGGGGAUAGCCUUUCGAAAGAAAGAUUAGUACCCGAUAGCAUAAUGAUUCCGCAUGGUUUCAUUAUUAAAGGAUUCCGGUAAAGGAUGGGGAUGCGUUCCAUUAGGUUGUUGGUGGGGUAACGGCCCACCAAGCCUUCGAUGGAUAGGGGUUCUGAGAGGAAGGUCCCCCACAUUGGAACUGAGACACGGUCCAA
rnacentral:rRNA from 1 species